rnacentral:misc_RNA from 1 species
AACGCACCUUGCGCCUCUUGGCUAUUCCGAGGGGCAUGCCUGUUUGAGUAUCACGAACACCUCAACUCUCACGGUUCGCCCGUGAUGAGCUUGGACUUCUGGAGGUUUUGCUGGCUUGCGGUCGGCUCCUCUCAAAUGGAUCAGCUUACCAGUGUUUGGUGGCAUCAUGGGUGUGAUAACUAUCUACGCUUGUGGUCGUCUGCCAGGUAACCUUCAGCGAUGGGGGUUUGCUGGGGCUUACAAAUGUCUCUCCUCAGCGAAGACAGCUUUUGAACGUUUGAUCUCAAAUCAGGUAGGACUACCCGCUGAACUUAA